rnacentral:rRNA from 1 species
AAUCUUCCGCAAUGGACGAAAGUCUGACGGAGCAACGCCCCGUGUGUGAUGAAGGGUUUCGGCUCGUAAAACCCUUUUGUUCAGGAAGAACACUUGAGGUAGUAACUGGCCUAGAGAUGACUGUACUUAACCAGACAGCCACGGCUAACUACGUCGCGUCAGCAGCGGUAAUACGUAGGUGGCAAGCGUUAUCCGGAAUUAUUGGGAGUAAAGCGCGCGUAGGCGGUAAAAUAAGUCUGAUGUGAAAGCCCCCGGCUCAACCGGGGAGGGUCAUUGGAAACUGUUUUACUUGAGUACAGAAGAGGAGAGUGGAAUUCCAUGUGUAGCGGUGAAAUGCGCAGAGAUAUGGAGGAACACCAGUGGCGAAGGCGGCUCUCUGGUCUGUUACUGACGCUGAGGUGCGAAAGCGUGGGGAUCAAAC